CCUACGGGGGGCAGCAGUGGGGAAUAUUGGGCAAUGGAGGAAACUCUGACCCAGCAACGCCGCGUGAAUGAUGAAGGUCUUCGGAUUGUAAAGUUCUUUUCUUAGGGAAGAAGAAAGUGACGGUACCUUAGGAAUAAGCCUCGGCUAACUACGUGCCAGCAGCCGCGGUAAUACGUAGGAGGCAAGCGUUAUCCGGAAUGACUGGGCGUAAAGGGUGUGUAGGUGGUUUGAUAAGUUGGUAGCGUAACUCCGGGGCUCAACCUCGGCACUACUACCAAUACUGUCGGACUUGAGUGCAGGAGGGGCAACUGGAAUUCCUAGUGUAGCGGUGGAAUGCGUAGAUAUGAGGAGGAACACCAGAGGCGAAGGCGAGUUGCUGGACUGGAACUGACAUUGAUGCUCGAAAGUGUGGGUAUCAAACAGGAUUAGAUACCCCGGUAGUC
rnacentral:rRNA from 1 species